rnacentral:rRNA from 1 species
UACGGAGGGUGCAAGCGUUGCUCGGAAUCACUGGGCGUAAAGCGACCGCAGGCGGCCUGACAAGUCGGAUGUGAAAGCCCUGGGCUCAACUCAGGAAUUGCAUUCGAAACUGGCAGGCUCGAGUACGGGAGAGGGGGGUGGAAUUCCUGGUGUAGGGGUGAAAUUCGUUGAUAUCAGGAGGAACACCGGCAGCGAAGGCGGCCCCCUGGCCCGCAACUGACGCUCAUGGUCGAAAGCGUGGGGAGCAAACAGG